GACGAACGCUGGCGGCGUGCUUAACACAUGCAAGUCGAGCGAUGAAACUACUUCGGUAGUGAAUUAGCGGCGAACGGGUGAGGAACACGUGAGGAAUCUGCCUUCAACACUGGGAUAACUCCGGGAAACCGGGGCUAAUACCGGAUAUGAGCUCUGAUCGCAUGGUCGGGGCUGUAAAGUUUUUCGGUUGAAGAUGACCUCGCGGCCUAUCAGCUUGUUGGUGAGGUAAUGGCUCACCAAGGCGACGACGGGUAGCCGGCCUGAGAGGGUGACCGGCCACACUGGAACUGAGAUACGGUCCAGACUCCUACGGGAGGCAGCAGUGGGGAAUAUUGCACAAUGGGCGCAAGCCUGAUGCAGCAACGCCGCGUGAGGGAU
rnacentral:rRNA from 1 species